UCUCCGUAGGUGAACCUGCGGAGGGAUCAUUAAGAAUUGAACAGCAGUGUCUGGCACUGUUGCCCAUUCUAACCCUUUGUGAACUACAACUCUGUUGCCUCGGCGCAGGCUGGGAGCUUCUGUAAACUCCCCCACGCGGACUCGCCUCCGCGCGGAGCAGGCCCGCCGGCGGCCCCUACCAAACCUCUUGUUUUUACAGUGUCUCCUCUGAGUUACAAACACAAAUGAAUCAAAACUUUCAACAACGGAUCUCUUGGUUCUGGCAUCGAUGAAGAACGCAGC
rnacentral:misc_RNA from 1 species